GCGGUCCAUUUAUUUCCCGAUCAAGUAAUCUGAGAUCUCGGCAAAUCUGGCCCGUCUUUACUCAUAUCUCGCCCUAUCUUCUUAUAUGAAAUUGAUUAUAGAAAUCAGAUUGAAUCAUCUGUUUGCUUCUGGUCACACCCUAUCAUCACCAGCAGCACCCUUCACCUUUUCUGCUCUGCUUCUGUAAAAUCGUUAUUUUCUCCACCUCUAUAUAGUCACAACACCCACCAGCGACCUACACUAUUACGUUGGUGCAAUGAAAGAAACACUCAUCACAUGUAAAGCCACACUCAUUCAAUAAGACCAACCCCCCUCAUAUCCCGUUUCAUUCAAAGUUUGAAACCCUAUCCCUUUCUCUCUCUGUAACCCUUUUCGUCUCACGACACCCUUCCACACUAUGCCUCCUUUUCCAUUCUGUAUGUGCUUUUUUUAUUAGAAGAAGAUGUUGAAUGAAGAAAGGUGAUGAAGGAGUUCAGAUCCUCAUGACACAUCUGAAGAUUGAUCCAGUAAGCAUCAUCUACGUCUUUCCAAUCAAUUUCUAUUUUUGUUUUUUUAUUUCUUACAAUUUAUCAUUUCUUUUGCUCCCCACAUGAGGCCUGGAGAAUGAAACACUUACUACAUAUAUCCAAGCCAAUAUGAUUGUCAGAACCAUCACUAAUGUUGGUGCUAUUAUAAGUGUAAAGCAUGAUCCUGAGAUUAAUAACCGCCUAUUUGCCAUUUGCUUAUCAUUCAUACACAUAGUUCAAACUAUUAGCUUUCUUAGGUUCGAAAUAUUCUUUCUAAUAUGUUUAUGUUUACAAUUUUCUUUUACAAUUUGUUAUCUCUCUUCUUUAUGAUUUGACAUAAGUGUUUGAAAAAGUAUUUUCAGAUCUAGAUGAAGAUGAACAAGAACGGGAAUGAAAAAGGGUUUAUAAUGCUUUUCAGAUUGCAUGAGGUAGCAAGGUAUUUUAUUUAUUUUUGAAAUGUAUUGAAGGAGUAAGUUGUUGUAUAUUAUGUAUGCAAGUUUUUUAAUGUUUUGUCUUUUCCGUGUCCUUUAAUUUGUAUUAUUAAAUUUAUAUUUCAAUUUUUUUCUAGCUAGAUAUUGUUGACUAAGAUAUGUUUGUUUUAGUUACUAUUUUAUUUUGUUGAGAUUUAGAUAAAUAUUGUUGAUGAGGAGGUUCUUUUUCAAGAAAAAGAAAAAACAGUGGCCAAGAAGCACCAGGUGUUGGCAAGGUUACUUUAGUCUUUGCUCAACUCUUAUUUGACUCUUCUGAAACACACACACAUAGAAAGACACAUUUAAGCUUCAUCCAUAUGUUUCUAUUAUACAUGUUUGGAUUUAUGUGUGUAUUUCCAUUUAAAUUCAAUGUGUAUACUUUUAACUACAAAUACUUACCUUGUAUCACACUUGGCAGACAUAAAUAUUCAAACGUGAGAUGGGGUAAAUGGAUCAAUUUGUUUUUUACUCAUAGAUCUGGUUUCUUUUUUGUCUCAGGGAUGAAGAUAGGGGAAGCCAAGAAAACAGGGCAUAAGAAAUAUGGAUGGUUGAGGUAAGGAUGGUGAUAUAUGAUGAAAACUACUCUUUUAAUUAAAUUUGGUAACACAUUUUAACAUGUGAGCGACAUCACUGCCAAAUUGAAGGCUAAUAGUAAUAGUACCAUCUUAACGUUCAAUGAAAUGCCUCUAGCAAAGACUCUUAGUCAGCAUGCUACUUAUAUGCAAAUCCAUUCAGCACACAUAUAUAGUGUAGAUAUGGUAUUUUUUAUCAUCCUUCAUAGGUUUACACUUGUGUAUCAUGUAUUUUCACUAGUUAUAUAUUCACUCCCAACAACACAUAAACAUUGAUUUAAAGGUAUGUGUAUGGUUAUUGGAUUGUAGAAACAGUUUGUAGUGACACAAUCCAGUGAAGCAAUUAUAGUUUCAAUAAAGAAACGGUAAAAAAAGCAACAACGAAGAAGGAAGAUGAAUCUUAGGUGCUGUUUGUUUUGGAAGUGGUUAAAUGUCUUUGUCUUUUUCCAAGUUUGCGGAAGAAGACGUGCACUUGCGAAACGUCUACCCGCCAGAAGGGAAAAGUGCUCAAAAAGUACUUUUGUAGAAAAACAAACGAGGCCUUAGUGUAGAUACUAAAUUUUUAUAACCAA